ensembl:lncRNA
UAGGCCUACAUGCAUUGGACCUAAGGUCUGGAUAGAUCAGACCUUUUUUUAUGUAGACGGUAGAGUCAAAGAGUUCACGCAAGCCAAUAAGGAGUGAAGAAUGUGGGAGUAAUCAUGCCCUAGCCUUCAACGCGGGGCCUUUCCCCCAUCGCGAGCUUGUGCCAGAGCCACUCGGUCACCCCAGACAGGAAGGCAAGAAUACGCCCUAUACAAACACACACGUUAACACCCGAGUGUUAAGAGUUUAUCCACACAGAUCUGCAGCGACUAGGGCCUGGGAGUGCAAGGACACUAUAACAAGGGAUCUUUAGCACACACAGCAAUACCAGAUAGCUUGUUAAAAUGCUGUGUAUCCCAUGCCACAAAACUAUUUGGCACUGUCAUGGUAAAUUGGAUCAAAAUGCCUAUUCCCAGUCAUCUUGGUAUAGCCGUUGUCCCUUUAGGCUCUUGAACUGGGUGGGGGGGCUCUCAACUGCUGAAUCAUGGUCACACCACAGCAACGUCACCGCCACAGCCAGUAAGACAAAUCUUUCAAAACGAUGUGUGUUCCCUUCCAAAGAAUAAUAACAAAAUACUGUGGAUGUCAAACUAGACACUGCAUCAAUGUGGGGCCCAACAUGUGGGGCCUAACACCUAAAGGUUCUACUGUCCAGUGACACUCAUUUUAACACCGGCUGAACACACAGAGUGCCCCCAUCUCCCUGAUGAUAGGGUUAAGGCUCUGCCGGGUCUAUAUUUAGCCCGUCCUGUGACUCUGAGUAACACAGCAAGCCGCGCUAGGUGGAUUCCAAUGUGCCCAGCUCCAGGACAACUCAACCAGCACCUGCUGCUGGAGCUAACUGACAGGCCGUCUUCUCAGCUCCCACUGGGCCCGGACUGAAAAGCCCCGGGCCAAACCUCCAGAGGGGAGACAAGAAGGUCAGACAGUCAUCCCGUCUCCAGUCAUCCAUUUAUUUUGGAUGGGAGGAGUAGGUUUUGGCAGAAAAGGAUUUGACUGGAGUGGUGGUUGAUGUGUGAAGAACCUUCCGCUGGCUGUGCUGCAGGAUCUGGUCAGGAGGGUUUGGCCGUUCUCCUCUCAACUGACGUGGG